AGUGCGACAGCUUCAGAGCUGAUGGAGAGACAGAGAGCACGCAACUGGUAAGUAGCCGAGAAAGCUCUCCUAAAAUAGUUGGUCACCAAUUGUUUCAGCAUUGCGUAUUGAAUAAUACAACCUUCUUCCACUGCCGUGAAAUGUCAACAGCUGCUCUCCCACUAGAUAGGGCGUAGCUUUCCACAGACGUGAAAACAUCGCUGUGGUCCAUCUCUAUUUACUGCAAGCAGAAGGGUCAAGACAGAAAACAUAGAGGCUUUUAGUAGGAGAGGGCAGACAUGCUUUAUCAUAUCAUUGAGCUACAAUUCUGGCCUACAGCAGAGAUACAGCCUGGUAUCCAUUAAGAGCAAGGCCUCUGGACCCAGGCUUCCUGGGCUUGCCUCCUGAUCCCAUCUUUUACUAAUUGUAUCGCCACAGAAAGAAAGGCUCCAGAUUUAUGUUUCCUGGUAUUGCUGCUAUUGGUAUUACUGUCCAUUAUUACUAUCAUCAUCAUCAUCACUAUUAUUAUUAUUAUUUUGCAAUUAAACUACAUUGGUGAAUCUUUAAUGUCCAUCUGACCUGAGACUGAAAUAGCUACAGUGCAAGACGGAGAGAGGCCUUCAUGCAUGGUGUGCAUUUGCCACCUAGUGACCACACUGAGGGAGAAGGAACAUGGACCAUCCACCCAGUCUUCCAAACAACAUCCCUCACCCAUAGUUGAAACUUUGGCUUCAGACCCUUCUCUGGCACUUCUGACAAUAAGUUUGGUGACCCAUGCUCUGGAGGAAGAAAGUGAAGAAGAGCAAGACUACUUCUCUGCAGCAAACUCUGAUGUUCUCUGUUCUUUCCUUACCACUGUUGUCAUGAGCAGCAUUUUUUCCCAUAGGUGCAUUGUUAUCCUUGCCAUGAGAGCAGACAAAAAUGAAAAAUAGUUGCCAAGUAACCAGAACUGCUGAUAAGAAACUUUGGGAAAUACCACUGAGAUGUGCUUUGGUAUUUUAUUUCUGGGAACAAACCAAUUGUCUUGGACUUUCACAGUACUCUUUUCUAUGUCUCACCCUUUACCACAAAGGUCCUUAAGUCCUUUGACAUGCAUAGUGUGAGGGAUUCUGGCACACAUUCUAGAACCUCGCAAAGUGGGGGGGGGGGGCUGCUAUCUGCUUUAUCAUCUUCAUUCCUGAAGUUUACUUUAAUUCUGAUUAGUUUGGCAUAAGGUCAUUUGUUGUAUGUAGUCAUCUGAGUUAUGUAUUGCCUGAUCCUGAGUAGCAGAGUAUUUAUCAUAAAUUCCUUGAUUUGCAUUGGUACCUAAUCAAGGAGGAGGAUAGUAUAGUUAAUUUCCAUACUUCCCUCUUGUUCUCAUGUUUGCCUCACCCAAGUGUUUCUGAGAUGCUGAACCUCCUCCAGAAAAGGUAAUGCUAAAAUUUCCUGUUCCCAAAAGGUGCUGCAGAACUCACUUCUAGUUGAAGUUUGAGUGUUUAAUUCACUUUUGUAAUCUCAUUAUUUGACUAAAGUAUUGUUAAAGUGAAUUUUGAAUGUUUGAAAUUUCCUAUGCAGAUUUAACAAAGAGAGAAAAUGACAAAACUAGAGGUAAGACACUCAGAAAUGAUUAUUUUUUUUUUCUGGCAUAUGAUGAGCCUGCCUGGUCUUUUAGUACUUACACAUAUUUUCACCUGCUAUCUAUUUUGAACUCAGUUGUGUACUUUUUCUGGGAACAGAGAGGAAGUCUGACUAGCAUUGCUUGCUCUUUUUGCCCUAACUGCUACUGUGCCAACAUUAUAGAAGGAGCACCCUGAUUGCAUAGGAUAAUGAUAUGAUACUGCCUGAAGAGAGAAAGGAAGAGUAAAUCUUGAUAUGAA
rnacentral:lncRNA from 1 species